rnacentral:rRNA from 1 species
ACUUGAGUGCAGAAGAGGAAAGUGGAAUUCCAUGUGUAGCGGUGAAAUGCGCAGAGAUAUGGAGGAACACCAGUGGCGAAGGCGACUUUCUGGUCUGUAACUGACGCUGAUGUGCGAAAGCGUGGGGAUCAAACAGGAUUAGAUACCCUGGUAGUCCACGCCGUAAACGAUGAGUGCUAAGUGUUAGGGGGUUUCCGCCCCUUAGUGCUGCAGCUAACGCAUUAAGCACUCCGCCUGGGGAGUACGACCGCAAGGUUGAAACUCAAAGGAAUUGACGGGGACCCGCACAAGCGGUGGAGCAUGUGG